rnacentral:rRNA from 1 species
UACGUAGGGUGCGAGCGUUGUCCGGAAUCAUUGGGCGUAAAGCGCGUGUAGGCGGCUUGGUAAGUCCGUUCUGAAAGCCCGGGGCUCAACCCCGGGAGGCGGAUGGAUACUGUCAAGCUUGAGUCCGGAAGAGGCGAGUGGAAUUCCCGGUGUAGCGGUGAAAUGCGCAGAUAUCGGGAGGAACACCAAUGGCGAAGGCAGCUCGCUGGGACGUGACUGACGCUGAGACGCGAAAGCGUGGGGAGCAAACAGG